GAGAGGAGAUCAUCAUUGCCAACUUGUCACCAAACCUAGAGGAUCGUUUUAGGGAGUGGUCUUGGAUCUCAUUUUUUUGGGCUUAAGCUAAUAUCAGAUCAAGAGUGGUAGACCGUGGUGGAUCUUGAAAGACUGCCUGUAGAUGUUGCUUGUCCUGUGUAAAAUUGUAGUCCUUGUCAUUGUCUAUCACUAUGUCCCUGUAUUUUGUAUUUUGGACUUCUGUAUCCCGAAUUUGUGUACUUUGUAGAGUUUGUAA